ACUACUUGUAGUUUCUUCCUACAGAGAACCCCCUGUUUCUCUCUCUAAGGCUCUUUCUAGAUACACGUCAUAUACACACACAUACACACAUCAUUUCCGCGUUUUCUUGACACUUUCGCAUACCUUUUAAUUUCCAUAUAGUAUAACCAUCGUCCCCGCAAGCUAAACAUUUAUCUAUCUUAGAAGCUCAAGGUUUUGAUCACAUGGAAGAUCACAAGGAGAAGAAUGCGCCAUGGCUAUCAGUGCCCCAAUUUGGGGACUGGGACCAAAAGGGAGCAUUGCCCGACUACUCUCUGGAUUUCUCAAAAAUAAGAGAAAAUAGGAAACAAAACAAGAGGGAUGUAUCUAGAGCCAGUCUUGGAAAUGAAGAGGAGCUCAUCUCAACCGCUAGUAAAGUGAAUACAGGCCACAGCGAUCAUCAACAUUACCAUCAGGAGAUUCAGAACCACACUCCAACUCAAACACGGAGGAGCAUAUUCAGCUACUUCAAUUGUUGCGUGAAAGCCUGAGUGAGAUCCAUGAAUCAAUUUCACACAUUUUCUGACUUCCCUGCAAUGAUUAUGUAUUGCAGACACGGAGGAGCUAAGGAUUCUUGGAGUUUCUCAGUGCUGUGAAAAUGAAUGAAACGGAAUUUUAAGUGGAAUACUUUGUGUAACCAAAAUCAUCUUUACUUUGAAUAGUGAAUUUCAUCUAUUUUUCAUCAUUUAAAUUGUUGAAGUUUAUGGAAAUGAAAUUUAUCACUAAAGUGAAAGUAAA